UACGUAGGGAGCAAGCGUUGUCCGGAAUCAUUGGGCGUAAAGCGCGCGUAGGUGGCCCCGUAAGUCCGCUGUGAAAGUCAAAGGCUCAACCUUUGAAAGCCGGUGGAUACUGUGGGACUAGAGUACGGAAGAGGCGAGUGGAAUUCCUGGUGUAGCGGUGAAAUGCGCAGAUAUCAGGAGGAACACCGGUGGCGAAGGCGGUUCUCUGGGCAGGUCCUGACGCUGAGGAGCGAAAGUGUGGGGAGCGAACAGG
rnacentral:rRNA from 1 species